UUCUCCUUUUUAUUUUUGUUUAUUUUUCCUCCCGAACCCAUCUUCGUCGAUUCCUCUCCUUCUCCCUCUCGCGACGUCGACCCCCUUUCCUCUUCCUCGAUCUCUUCGUCUCCCCCAACCCGACGCCGACCACCUCUGCCCUAAUCUCCUUGGCCGAUUUCUCCUCCUUGGAUAAUGACCCCGACCAAGAGUUGAUCGACGCGUCGGCUGCCCACAGGCCUCGCUGAGCGGAGCCCUAGCCGACGUCCACCAUCGGUGAUCUUCUCCUUCCUUUGUCAUAGCCGAAGCAGAUCCAUCGUAGCCCUAGCGUGAGAGAUUUGAUCGACCAUCCUUCAUCGUCGACGCCAGUCGCCGCCAUCACCCUCAUGCGACUUUGUCGAUGCCAUCGACCGCAAGCCUCACUGAGUCGUGCCCUACCUCCCGAUCCACCACCGUCCUCGAGCAUCAUCGUCCUGGCCAACACCGACGAUUUUCAUGAGUCGUCGGCCCUCUCCACCCACAAGAAAGAGGUCAUUUCACUGUGUGUCAUUUUGGUGUGAUUCCAGCCACCGUCGAUAUGAUUUUCCCCUCGUUGGGGAGCCGAGCAUCAAAUGGGCACCAAGGAACCAAGGAGUGUCGCCACUGUUCCGGUCAUCUCAACCACACCUUUCACCUUCAGGUUUUAUUUUCGGACUGAUGGGCCACUCUCUCUAUGGCUGGCCAUCCCUCCAACCAUGAGCCAUCACUGACAGUUGUGCCAUCGCUAGUGACUUCCAGCCGUGCAUUGUCGUCGGAGAAGAAAUCAUGGGACUUUGAUUCGAGACGAGCGUCUCGAUGAGGGAUUGGUUUAUCACGAUCGAUAGAUAAAGGAGACAUGAGGUAUUUGGCCUGACGACCCUUGUAUCCGGAUAGGAGGUCUUGGUUGAAGCUGCUUGGAAAUCUUGUCCGCCAGUCUCAUGUCACAUCCAACGACCUCUAUUAUUAUUGCUUUCACUUGCAUUAUUGGUUUUGUACUUGUAUUUGUAUUAUAUAUGUACCUUCUAUAUGGUUUUCUGGGCUUGUGGUGUCCUUUAUUUCGAUUAUGAACUUGUUGUGUCAAGUCAGGUCGACUCGCAGUUAGUUGUAUUAUUUUUUUAUGUUUUGUUUAUAUCUUCCGCUAUGUUUUUAAUACAA